CCUAUGGGUGGCAGCAGUGGGGAAUAUUGCACAAUGGGGGAAACCCUGAUGCAGCGACGCCGCGUGAGUGAAGAAGUAUUUCGGUAUGUAAACCUCUAUCAGCAGGGAAGAUAAUGACGGUAUCUGAUUAAUAAGCCCCGGCUAACUACGUGCCAGCAGCCGCGGUAAUACGUAGGGUGCAAGCGUUAUCCGGAUUUACUGGGUGUAAAGGGAGCGUAGACGGGAGCACAAGUCAGAAGUGAAAUGCCGUGGCUUAACCAUGGAACUGCUGUGGAAACUGUGCAGCUAGAGUGCAGGAGAGGUAAGUGGAAUUCCUAGUGUAGCGGGAAAAUGCGUAGAGAUUAGGAGGAAUACCAGUGGCGAAGGCGACUUACUAGACUGUAACUGACGUUGAGGCUCGAAAGCGUGGGGAGCAAACAGGAUUAGAUACCCUUGUAGUC
rnacentral:rRNA from 1 species